GUCCCCGGGGGUGCCGCUGGAGCUGCUGGUGCUGGCCAGGACUGUUGCCUAUGGCUGCUCCACGGCCUUCCCCUUCAGGGGUGCUGCUGUGGCUGGUUAAUGGGUGUUACUGGGCACCCUCCUCUCAACCCAUACCCCCCCAGGCUCAUCACCUUCCUCCAAGAGGCCAAUCUGCCCAUCAUCAUCUUCAGCAGGCUCCUUCAAGCCGCCACCAACUACAGCCAAGGCCACAUGGGGCAGCUCUCAGGGGUCACCACCACCCUCCUGUUCGGGGGGGCCGGGCGCAGGUCUUCACCUCCCUUCAGGUGAGACCCCCCACCUUGGACGCCCCAAAUCCCCUUUUCCACCCCCCGCAAUGUUCCAUCUCCAACAGGAGACAGAGGACCCACUCCUGGCCUUGACCUUCGCCACGUUGGCCGCCUGCAAUGGGCUCCUAUUGGGGCAGCUGCUGUAUUAUGGGGGGAGGAGCCCCCAAACCUCCCCCUCACCGCAAAGUGGACUGACCCCGGAUCCCCCCAUACCCUCCCCCCAAUGGAACAAACUGGGGGGGUGGUGUUAAAAAGGGGGUUUUUGUGGGGUGAAACAUCCCCCCAUUAAUAAAAUGGGUUUUCACUGG
rnacentral:lncRNA from 1 species